UUAAACAGAAUUUGCAACAGCCCAGGCAUUCCAUUCCCAUUAGGAGCUGUUUUGCAAAGAAAUGAAGACGGUAGCCACCAAUACAGGCAGUCUGAAAGAGCAGGACAGUUAAGACUCACAUAUCAGAGCUUUGUAGGCCAACCUCAGAAUCAUGGCUGCACUACAGCUGGAUCCCUGAGAACUUCCACACAUGCUGUGGGCAGACUCCCUUUGAGCUUCCAGAGUCACAGAGGGCUGAGGGGCAAUUUUCAGCGUCACUACUUAAAAGCUGAGAGCCUGGGUUUGAGUCACUCUCGUCUCCGUUGAAUAGAGUUAUAAGAGGAGCUGGGCAUGCAGCAAUGGCACAGGAAAUGCAGGUUGUCGUUUGACCCCGGGGAAACGCCAAAGCCAGAAACAGCAAAGCUGCUUUUCUGAAGACUCAUUCCCCACCCCCACCCUGCCCUCGGAGCUGCCAGACAGGAGGACAUAGGCUCUUCCCCUCCUACCCCAGAGAAAGCCUUCUCUUCCAGGAUUUCCUGAAAGGUCACAUCCACCUGUGGCCACGCCCAACAGGCGUGGUCAAUGCUACAGGUGCUGAGGAAUAUAUUACUACACUUUUGGUUUGCUGGGCUUUCAGAGAGAUGGAGAGACUCACUGCAACCAGAGGGAAGCCACAUAUCGAAGAGGCUGUUGUGGUCAUUCUGCAGAGAAGUCUAAACAGUAGAAAUGCUGAGGCAGGCAGGAUGGACAUGCUACGGGAGAAGCAGGAUUGAGACUCUUCCCUAAGCUUCUGACACUAAAUGGAUGGUGGUGCCACUAGCUGCGAUAGAUUCUGGACCAGGCUUAAAGGGGACUGCAAAGGACAGACUAGAAUCUGGUAGAAUCUGACCUCUUGGUGGGCUUUGCUGGGAUAGUGAAAGCCACCCAGUUCAAGCACACAGACUUCAGAGGCACCCAGCUGAUGACUGAAGGAGGAAGCUUCAAGAAGGAAAUGGUGGUCAAGAUCUCUCACCAGCUGGGUGUUGGUGGCGCACGCCUUUAAUCCCAGCACUCUGGAGGCAGAGGCAGGAGGAUCUCUGUGAGUUCGAGGCCAGUCUGGUCUACAGAGUGACUUCCAGGUCCGGCUCCGAAGCUACACAGAGAAACCAUGUCUCGGAAAAAAAACAAAAAACAAAAGGAAAAAAAAAAAAAGAGUGUCUCACGAAAUGUAGGACCCAAAAGGAGUCCGCCAUGUUUGACAUCGAGAGGGGCCUUGUAUCUUCAACCUGGGCAGUACCAUGAGUGGAAGAGGGAGACAGGCUUUCAAAGCAAGCUUCAUGCUGUUCCUGUAAUGCUGCAUGCUGCAUCUGUGGGAUAAACAGAUAGCUUGGAGGAGAGUAUGGCCUACGCUGGGAAAAAAAAGGAGACGGUCCAAGCACAUCUUUUUGGAUCUUACAGUUUAUUAAAUCCUUCUCAGAUUUACCAAGCUUAAAGAUGAACAGUAAGACAAGUUAAGCUCACAUGAAAGACAGCUGAUAUACAUUAGUGGGUGAGUUUCAGAUGUUCCAUUAGAACGAAACACGCCUUUGUGGAAAUUAAUCCCAGUUAAUGGUUGAGGUGCCCUUGUAUGAGCAGUUUGCGUGGUUUUGACAUCUACUCUUUGAGGUAGGUCGUUACUCACAUAUACGACACAGGCAAGUUUAGGAGCACAGCUGGGAGUCGGGGAGUUCAUUGAAGAUGGGAUUGGAGAAGAUGCCCACUAUUUUUUUUUCUUUUUUUAACUUUGUCGAUUACUGAUCAGGAGCCAGGUCUUACUUCACACAAGAAAACACCUUUUGUAAAUACCAGCCGAAAUAAAAGUUCAGGCUUAUAUUGAAAACCGUGGCCGAUUAAUAUUCAAAACACCCAUUUUCCAAGAUUUAAGUUGAAGAGCACUGAAGAUACCAUGCAAGACCUUAGCCACUGUCGCUUUGGUUUUCUUGAUACAUUGACUUUUUUUUUCAUCAUGUAACAGUAAUGAGUUCACGUACUACCUAGAAACAAGUCUAAUAAGAGUUUAGUAAAGCACGCCCACUCAAUUUCUUAACCAUGAAGAAUGUUAUUUGGGCAAAUAAGAAAUAGACGCCAAAUAAAUGGAGACAGCUUUGCCAAUAAAUAUAUGGUGUUCCA